GCAAGACUGAAACUUAAAGGAAUUGGCGGGAGAGCACAGCAACGGGAGGAGCGUGCGGUUUAAUUGGAUUCAACGCCGGAAAACUCACCAGGGGCGACUGUUACAUGAAGGCCAAGCUGAUGACUUUGCCUGAUUUUCAGAGAGGUGGUGCAUGGCCGCCGUCAGUUCGUACCGUGAGGCGUUCUCUUAAGUGAGAUAACGAACGAGACCCUCGCCUCUAUUUGCCAUCCUUCUCCUCGGAGAUGGAGCACUAUAGAGGGACCGCUGGCGCUAAGUCAGAGGAAGGAGAGGUCAACGGUAGGUCAGUAUGCCCCGAAUCUCCUGGGCCACACGCGCGCUACAAAGGACGGGACAAUGGGCUGCAACACCGAGAGGUGAAGCCAAUCCCGAAACCCGUUCGUAGUCCGGACUGAGGGUUGUAACUCACCCUCACGAAGCUGGAUUCCGUAGUAAUCGCGGAUCAACAUCCCGCGGUGAAUGUGCCCCUGCUCUUUGCACACACCGCCCGUCAAACCAUCCGAGUUGGGUCUGGAUGAGGGUGCCU
rnacentral:rRNA from 1 species